rnacentral:rRNA from 1 species
UACGAGGGGGGCGAGCGUUGUUCGGAAUUAUUGGGCGUAAAGGGUGCGUAGGCGGUUUGGUAAGUCUUAUGUGAAAUCUACAGGCUCAACCUGGGAAUGGCAUUUGGGACUGCAAGGCUGGAGUGUGGCAGAGGAGACUGGAAUUCCUGGUGUAGCAGUGAAAUGCGUAGAUAUCAGGAGGAAUACCGAUGGCGAAGGCAGGUCUCUGGGCUGACACUGACGCUCAUGCACGAAAGCGUGGGGAGCAAACAGG